UUGACCGUCAGGGAGAAUGAAGACGACUUAACCACAGAACAGAUAUAGAUGGGCAGUGGCAGUUCAAGCUUCACACACUGCCCCACUGAUGUGCCUCAUGGAUAGGCCCCCUUGGAAUGAGAAGGUAGCUGUGUCUUAAGAGCUAAUUCAGUCCUCAGUUUUU
rnacentral:sRNA from 1 species